AGAAGUUAAGAAACUGUUUCUUAACUUUUAACUAAAAAAGCUAAGAACCGGUUCUUAAAUAAGGACUUUAAGAACCGGUUUUUAGCCUUUUUAGUUAAAAGUUAAGAAACCGUUUCUUAACUUCC
rnacentral:pre_miRNA from 1 species